GUAGUCCACGCCGUAAACGAUGGGCACUAGGCCCUUGGGGGAGCGACCCCCUGAGGACCGGCGCAAACGCAUUAAGUGCCCCGCCUGGGGAGUACGGCCGCAAGGCUGAAACUCAAAGGAAUUGACGGGGGCCCGCACAAGCGGUGGAGCAUGUGGUUUAAUUCGACGCAACGCGAAGAACCUUACCUGGGCUUGACAUGGCCGGGAAUGGCCGGGGAAACCUGGUCAGCUCUUCGGAGCUCGGUCACAGGUGCUGCAUGGCUGUCGUCAGCUCGUGUCGUGAGAUGUUGGGUUAAGUCCCGCAACGAGCGCAACCCUUGUCACUAGUUACCAGCGGGUAAAGCCGGGAACUCUAGUGAGACUGCCGGUGCCAAACCGGA
rnacentral:rRNA from 1 species